UCGAGCGAGAAAGGGGCUUCGGCCCUGAGUAAAGCGGCGCACGGGUGAGUAACACGUGGGUAAUCUGCCCUAGAGUGGGGAAUAACACCGGGAAACCGGUGCUAAUACCGCAUACGAUCGUGAUGUCUUCGGACGUUGUGAUGAAAGGAGCAAUUCGCUCUUGGAGGAGCCCGCGGCUGAUUAGCUAGUUGGUGAGGUAAUGGCUCACCAAGGCAACGAUCAGUAGCCGGUCUGAGAGGACGGUCGGCCACACUGGAACUGAGACACGGUCCAGACUCCUACGGGAGGCAGCAGUGGGGAAUUUUUCGCAAUGGGGGCAACCCUGACGAAGCAACGCCGCGUGGGUGAUGAAGUAUCUCGGUACGUAAAACCCUUUCGACGGGGAAGAAACCGCAAGGUUGACGGUACCCGUAGAAGAAGCCCCGGCUAACUCCGUGCCAGCAGACGCGGUAAUACGGGGGGGGCAAGCGUUGUUCGGAAUUACUGGGCGUAAAGGGCGCGUAGGCGGUCCGCUAAGUUGAAUGUGAAAACUCUGGGCUUAACCCAGAGCCUGCAUUCAAUACUGGCAGGCUAGAGUUCUGGAGGGGAUAGCGGAAUUCCUGGUGUAGCGGUGAAAUGCGUAGAUAUCAGGAGGAACACCGGUGGCGAAGGCGGCUAUCUGGACAGAGUCUGACGCUGAGGCGCGAAAGCUAGGGGAGCAAACAGGAUUAGAUACCCUGGUAGUCCUAGCCCUAAACGAUGGAUACUUGCUGUGACUGGGAUUGAAUCCAGUCGUGGCGAAGCUA
rnacentral:rRNA from 1 species